GGUGUUGUAGCUCAGUGGUAGAGCACUUGCCUAGCAUGUGUGAGGCGAUGGGUUUGAUUCUCAGCAUCA
rnacentral:tRNA from 1 species